rnacentral:rRNA from 1 species
UACGUAGGGGGCAAGCGUUGUCCGGAUUUAUUGGGCGUAAAGAGCGCGUAGGCGGCCAGGUAGGUCAGCUGUGAAAACUCGAGGCUCAACCUCGAGACGUCGGUUGAAACCACCUGGCUAGAGUCCGGAAGAGGAGAGUGGAAUUCCUGGUGUAGCGGUGAAAUGCGCAGAUAUCAGGAAGAACACCCGUGGCGAAGGCGGCUCUCUGGGACGGUACUGACGCUGAGACGCGAAAGCGUGGGGAGCGAACAGG